AGUGAACGCUGGCGGUAGGCCUAACACAUGCCAGUCGAACGGCAGCACAGUAAGAGCUUGCUCUUACGGGUGGCGAGUGGCGGACGGGUGAGGAAUACAUCGGAAUCUACUUUUUCGUGGGGGAUAACGUAGGGAAACUUACGCUAAUACCGCAUACGACCUACGGGUGAAAGCAGGGGAUCUUCGGACCUUGCGCGAUUGAAUGAGCCGAUGUCGGAUUAGCUAGUUGGCGGGGUAAAGGCCCACCAAGGCGACGAUCCGUAGCUGGUCUGAGAGGAUGAUCAGCCAAACUGGAACUGGGGAACGGUCCAGACUCCUACGGGAGGCAGCAGUGGGGAAUAUUGGACAAUGGGCGCAAGCCUGAACCAGCCAUACCGCGUGGGGGAAGAAGGCCUUCGGGUUGGAAAGCCCUUUUGGUGGGAAAGAAAAGCAGCAGGUUAAUACCCCGCUGUUCUGACGGUACCCAAAGAAUAAGCACCGGCUAACUUCGUG
rnacentral:rRNA from 1 species